rnacentral:tRNA from 1 species
UCUUAGGUGACUGAGUAGAGGUGCUAGAUUUUUAAUCUAGAAACAGCAUAGGUAAAAAUGCUCCUAAGAA